GACGAACGCUGGCGGCGUGCUUAACACAUGCAAGUCGAACGGAAAGGCCCUGCUUUUGUGGGGUGCUCGAGUGGCGAACGGGUGAGUAACACGUGAGUAACCUGCCCUUGACUUUGGGAUAACUUCAGGAAACUGGGGCUAAUACCGGAUAGGAGCUCCUGCUGCAUGGUGGGGGUUGGAAAGUUUCGGCGGUUGGGGAUGGACUCGCGGCUUAUCAGCUUGUUGGUGGGGUAGUGGCUUACCAAGGCUUUGACGGGUAGCCGGCCUGAGAGGGUGACCGGCCACAUUGGGACUGAGAUACGGCGCAGACUCCUACGGGAGGCAGCAGUGGGGAAUAUUGCACAAUGGGCGGAAGCCUGAUGCAGCAACGCCGCGUGCGGGAUGACGGCCUUCGGGUUGUAAACCGCUUUCGACUGUGACGAAGCGUGAGUGACGGUAAUGGGUAAAGAAGCACCGGCUAACUACGUG
rnacentral:rRNA from 1 species